GACGAACGCUGGCGGCGUGCUUAACACAUGCAAGUCGAACGGAAAGGCCCUGCUUUUGUGGGGUGCUCGAGUGGCGAACGGGUGAGUAACACGUGAGUAACCUGCCCUUGACUUUGGGAUAACUUCAGGAAACUGGGGCUAAUACCGGAUAGGAGCUCCUGCUGCAUGGUGGGGGUUGGAAAGUUUCGGCGGUCGGGGAUGGACUCGCGGGUUAUCUGCUUGCUGGUGGGGUAGUGGCUUACCAAGGCUUUGAAGGGUCGCCGGCCUGGGAGGGUGACCGGCCACAAUGGGACUGAGGGACGGACCAGACUCCUACGGGAGGCAGCAGUGGGGAAUAUUGCACAAUGGGCGGAAGCCUGAUGCAGCAACGCCGCGUGCGGGAUGACGGCCUUCGGGGUGUAAACCGCUUUCGCCUGUGACGAAGCGUGAGUGACGGUAAUGGGUAAAGAAGCACCGGCUAACUACGUG
rnacentral:rRNA from 1 species